UGGGGAAUUUUGGACAAUGGGCGCAAGCCUGAUCCAGCAAUGCCGCGUGCAGGAUGAAGGCCUUCGGGUUGUAAACUGCUUUUGUACGGAACGAAAAAGCUCUCUCUAAUACAGGGGGUGAAUGACGGUACCGUAAGAAUAAGCACCGGCUAACUACGUGCCAGCAGCCGCGGUAAUACGUAGGGUGCAAGCGUUAAUCGGAAUUACUGGGCGUAAAGCGUGCGCAGGCGGUUUUGUAAGACGGAGGUGAAAUCCCCGGGCUCAACCUGGGAACUGCCUUUGGGACUGCAAAGCUGGAGUGCGGCAGAGGGGGAUGGAAUUCCGCGUGUAGAAGUGAAAUGCGUAGAUAUGCGGAGGAACACCGAUGGCGAAGGCAAUCCCCUGGGCCUGCACUGACGCUCAUGCACGAAAGCGUGGGGAGCAAACA
rnacentral:rRNA from 1 species